CCCAUUUUGCUCCCUCUGCGGGCAGCGAGGCAGUUGUGUGUGACUCCCUCUCCGAUGCGCCCAGGCUGCUGGGCGAGACGAGGAAAGCUUUUGCAGGGCCGGGAGAGGGCAGCUGGGAACGGGAGGCAAUUCGGCUCGUCCCUGAUGCACCUCCUGUGCGUGUUGUGUGUCUGUUUGUCUUCCUCCUCCUCCUCCUCUAGAGCCAGGCGAGAGAAAUCUGCAAGGGGAGGAGGCACCUUUGCGGGCGCGCUUGGCAGCUCCGGCAAGAGCGAGGGCGCAAAGCCGGAGAGCGAGAUGCCGUGUGCGCGCGUGUGAAGCUUUGACCUUCUUGCUCUGCUGAUCAAUUGCUGAGUAUUUGAUUUGAAGGCGGCUCCUCCCCCUUCCUCCCUCCCAGCCCGCCUCCUCUGCGAUCGUGUGAAGCGAGGAGGAAUCUCUCCCAUGACUAUGAUCAUCCUCAAGCUGAAGGCGGAGACGCAGCAGAAGGCGUCGAGAUGAAUUCUCCUCCUUCAUCUCCUGUGGAGCCUGUCUCAAGUUAGAAAUCUGAUAAGAUUGCGUGUCUUCUCGCUCGUCAUUUGUUCACCCCACAAUUUUCACUGCAUUUCCCUAUCGUUUUUCCAAAUUGCAAAGAAGUCGAUUUGCUGCACUGGAGUGCUCUG